rnacentral:rRNA from 1 species
UGAGUAACCUGCUCUUCACUCUGGGAUAACUCCGGGAAACCGGGGCUAAUACUGGAUAUGACUCGAACAGGCAUCUGUUUCGGGUGGAAAGAUUUAUUGGUGGAGGAUGGACUCGCGGCCUAUCAGCUUGUUGGUGAGGUAAUGGCUCACCAAGGCGACGACGGGUAGCCGGCCUGGAGGAGGGCGAUCCGGCCACACGUGGGACUGAGACACGGCCCAGACCUCCGUACGGGA